rnacentral:sRNA from 1 species
GGCUCUGGCUCUCUCUCGCUAGAGGGAUGCCACCGCCCUGUCCUCCCGUCCUCGGCGUUGCCUUCCCCUCCCUCUUUCCCACUGACGCCUUGAAAACCCUUAUUUGCGCAUUCACUCACGCUUGAGGUCACUCUCUGAAAGAGAACGAAGUAAUUUUCUGAAGGGAAGCUGCAGAAUAUGGAAAACAUAUAUUGGAGCUACAUGGACGUAAGUUCAAACCUCACUUCAACCUUUAGCUGCAAAGUUCUUGCCCUUUAAUUGAAUCAUAAAAUUGAGUAUGAUAAUACCUACCUUAAGGGAUUUUUAUGAAGAUUAAAUGAAACAAUUUGUGUUUAUUGCCUGGGACGUAAUAGCCAUUCAAUAAACACUAGUAUUGUUUAUUGAUGACAGGGUGAAUUGUACAGUAUGUGAAUUAUACCUCAAUAAAGCUAUUGAAAAAAGGUGUUAGGGGCUUUGAAGGCAAAACUGUGCUCUCCUUCAUUGUAUAAACGUAACAUAACCAAGUAGCAAUAAAUCAUUCAUACCCUAAUGUCCAGUUUCCCUUAAGAGAAAAUGCAUUUUUGAAGUGUUGACACCUACAACCAUACAAUGAAGUAAAAUAAUAUUUUCUUCACUUGCACCAUGCUCAAGGCAGCAGGUUAACUGGAUAUAGACAUGUAAAUUCAAUGCCAAUUUGAAUUAUACAUCAGAUUUAUGGAGCCGUUUUGUAGACCUAAGUAACUGCCAUCAGAGUCAGGAAAGAGA